CAGGGAAUUUUGCCUUCCACUCUCUUUGUUUCUUCUUUCUUGCACGCUUAGGUAGGGAAAAAUCAUUGGUUAUGUUGAUCAAAUGGAUCUUCACAAUGACUCAGCGUUUUUCUCAGUCACUUUGCCAACAAGGGACCUCCACAGCCAGCAAUGUCCUGGGCCUGCUGCCAGAGGUACCCCGCCCAUUCAGCCUGCCUGUGUUACAGCCUGUACCCGCAUUUGGCAGCCCCUAAAAUAUUUACACUCUCUCUGAAAUCAGAAUCAAAGCCAUCAAUGAAGAUGACACCAUCUGUUGUGCAUACUUAUUUUUAUUGGAUAUUUUCUCAGUGUUGACUCAUGAGGUCAACUACUUACCUCACUCACAUCCGUCGGAAAAAUUCAAACAGAUGUUCCUGUUCUCUCUCGCCUAUCAUCAGAUCUAACUAAUGACGUUAAAGUUCAAGUUGGUGAAUCUUCCCUGGCCUGCAUUAUAUCUCCCAAAUGACUUUGAGUCUCACUAGCUCCUUGACACCACUUUUAUCAUUCAGUAAACACAUUGAUUACUU
rnacentral:lncRNA from 13 species